rnacentral:rRNA from 1 species
AACGAACGCUGGCGGCAGGCCUAACACAUGCAAGUCGAGCGGACCUUUCGGGGUCAGCGGCGGACGGGUGAGUAACGCGUGGGAAUAUGCCCUUCUCUACGGAAUAGUCCUGGGAAACUGGGGGUAAUACCGUAUACGCCCUUUGGGGGAAAGAUUUAUCGGGGAAGGAUUAGCCCGCGUUGGAUUAGGUAGUUGGUGGGGUAAUGGCCUACCAAGCCGACGAUCCAUAGCUGGUUUGAGAGGAUGAUCAGCCACACUGGGACUGAGACACGGCCCAGACUCCUACGGGAGGCAGCAGUGGGGAAUAUUGCACAAUGGGCGCAAGCCUGAUGCAGCGACGCCGCGUGAGGGAUGACGGCCUUCGGGUUGUAAACCUCUUUCAGUAGGGAAGAAGCGAAAGUGACGGUACCUGCAGAAGAAGCACCGGCUAACUACGUG